GGAGUUGGCCAGACAAUCGCGCCAAAAUGUUUCGGCAUUUUGGGGAGGAAAGUCCGGGCUCCAUAGGACAGAGUGCCAGGUAACGCCUGGGAGGUGAAAGCCUACGGAAAGUGCAGCAGAAAAUAAACCGCCAGCGCUUGUUUUCAAGCGCGGGUAAGGGUGAAAUGGUGCGGUAAGAGCGCACCGCGCAACGGGUAACCGCUUGUGGCAUGGUAAACCCCACUCGGAGCAAGRCCAAAUAGGGGGACGUAAUGCGUGGUCCGCGCUGUUCUCGGGUAGGUUGCUUGAGGUGCAUGGUGACAUGUAUCCAGAUGAAUGAUUGUCCACGACAGAACCCGGCUUAUCGGCUGACUCCCUUU
rnacentral:RNase_P_RNA from 1 species